UACAGAGGUCUCGAGCGUUAGGCGGAAUCACUGGGCUUAAAGCGUGUGUAGGCGGAUCGUUAAGUACCUUGUGAAAUCCCACGGCUUAACCGUGGAACUGCUUGGUAUACUGGCGGUCUUGAGCCAGCUAGGGGCUACCGGAACAAAUGGUGGAGCGGUGAAAUGCGUAGAUAUCAGGAAGAACACCCGUGGCUAAGGCGGCUCUCUAGUACGGUACUGACGCUGAGACGCGAAAGCGUGGGGAGCGAACAGG
rnacentral:rRNA from 1 species